rnacentral:tRNA from 1 species
CGGGUGGCCGGUGGCAGGAAACAGCCAUGAGCCGCUGCUGUCGGCCCUUGGUCGGCUCGGCUCCGACACGCCCAU